UCUACCUAGUAGUGGAGGAUAACUCGGGGAAACUCGAGCUAAUACUGCAUACGCCCUACGGGGGAAAGCGGGGGAUCUUCGGACCUCGCGCUAUUGGAUGAGCCCGCGUUAGAUUAGCUUGUUGGUGAGGUAAUGGCUCACCAAGGCGACGAUCUAUAGCUGGUCUGAGAGGAUGAUCAGCCACAUUGGGACUGAGACACGGCCCAAACUCCUACGGGAGGCAGCAGUGGGGAAUAUUGCGCAAUGGGCGAAAGCCUGACGCAGCCAUGCCGCGUGUGUGAAGAAGGCCUUCGGGUUGUAAAGCACUUUCAAUAGGGAGGAAAGGUUGUAGCUUAAUACGCUGCAACUGUGACGUUACCUAUAGAAGAAGCACCGGCUAACUCCGUGCCAGCAGCCGCGGUAAUACGGAGGGUGCGAGCGUUAAUCGGAAUUACUGGGCGUAAAGCGCGCGUAGGCGGCUUCGUCAGUCAGAUGUGAAAGCCCCGGGCUCAACCUGGGAAC
rnacentral:rRNA from 1 species